rnacentral:misc_RNA from 1 species
UCCAGAAAACUACAGCGCUUUCUAGAGGCGGAGUUGUGCGUUCGUUUGUAGACGUUUUCAUUCACGGCUUUCAAAUGCGACGGCCUGAGCCGUGGCAGCGCCUGCUGUCCCACGUACGCCACACCAUCGCUACACCGUUUGUUUUGCGAAUCGGCACCGGCCCGCCAGGCUGUAACCCACCGGUGGCUGUCGCCCCCCAUCCCCCCUCAGCUCUGCCUACAAUUGCUGCCAACUACUCUGAGCUCUCGGCUUUCGAAAAGGAUUAUGCCGCUCGCUGCUUGGAGUACGUUGCCCACCAAGCGGAUGAUUCCCAGGUGGACGAAAGCGACUCGAUUCCGCAUCCUACUUCGUCGUCCUGGGUAGCACCGACGUUCCUGGAGGACCCGUGUGCCUCGACGUGGCGCCCCCUCUUCGACCUCCUUGUGCUGCCCGACGGGUCCGUGUGCAUCGGGUGGUUUCGCCACCAUGCGCUUGACCUGCAGUGGGGGCAUCACGUGGAGACCUACAUUGCAGACCUGUGGCAAAAGGCACCGCGCACGUUGUGGCUACAUUCCCGAGAGAGGUUGAACUUCCUGGUGCGCAGGCAGCUGCCGAUGCGCCACCGACACCUGGCCGUCUUUUAUCGGAAGGACACGGUUUCUCCAGCAGACGAGGAGCAAAGUUUGCAGGCAGCUGUCCGCUCUCUUCAUGCGGCGUCAUCGACUGCGUACCAGUUAGAGGAUGAUGCCCUGUUGCACGCCUCAAGCUCGGGCAGGCCCACGUUGCUUUUUGUGCGAGCGCUGAUGCGCGACAUUGAGCGGCGCAAUCGGGAGCUCCCCACCGGCACCGCUGUCGCGGUAAUGCAACUUCUUGUCUUGACGUUGGCAACGUACUACGACGGAAUGCCGCGAGGCCUGGCCGAGGCGAUCGCGGCCUCCGCUGGCCAGGUAUGUGCCUUAACGAGUGACUCCGGCUGCCACCAACUCCUCACUUGGGGAGCGUUGCUGGUGGGAUGCACGGCUGACCACGCGAAGGCCGGCAUAGAGGUCGUCCAAGGUGACGCGGCCACACAGGCACUCACAUUAACGUUGCUGAGUUCUAUUGCCAUUCCAGGAGCGGAGCGAGACGCGGCAUUGCUGUGGCAGGCGGAGCACCACCUUCAUCCGCUCUGCGACGCUCUUGUCUCCGAAGAGGCGCUGUUGCUCGAUGCUCUUUCUGCUUUCCGCCCCGGGGCCAAAAAUGCAGAAUAUCGCUCCGCACUUUCCUCCUGCGCGGCUGCCGGCGACGGGCCUAUCGAUAUAGAUUCCACGAACAGUGGAGCUGCUCGCGGUGAUGUGGCCGCGUGGCACUUCAGCCGUGCUCUGGACCAGAAAGUCGGCGACGCAGAGGACCGGGCGGUGCUGUGCUUGGAGCCGGCUAAGGAGACAGGUCAGCUUCCUCUCCCGUGGCUGCCCGGCACCGGCGCGGAUGCAAAGGGCUGCUGGUGCACGCUCCUCACCCACUCGAGGAUCUUGCUGUCUCACAGCAAGGCGGACAGCCGCCACGCGCGCAGCACCGCUGAGUAUCCCCAUGCAGCCGCGGUGAAGCGGGUGCAUUGUAUGCUGCGCAUUGCUCUGGCGCGGCGGUGCCUGUUUGAGACGACCGACGUCAACAUCUCCAGCCAGUACUCGAUCCUCACUCACCUCUUCUCCUCUGCUGAGGCCCCGUCGGCGCGCCUGACACUCAUUCAUCUCGCGACCACCCACGUGCCUUGGGAGGUAAUCGACCCUGUGGAGCACCAGCGGGCGCUGAUGGGGCUUCUCUUUCUCUUCCCAUCUUUGCCACUGCGCUCCCUUUACGGCGGCACAGUGGCGCAUGCUCACGCGUCACUGUCCACCGGUGCUUGCGCGCUGCAGUGCACCUCCUGCCUCGACAAUUCUCAAACGCCCGCGGCAUCGAAUAGCCCCUUAACAGUGUGCAUUCCGGCUACACGCGCGGAGGGUCUCGCGACCCGGCUACGUGGUCGAGACAGCGCGCUGAUCUGCGUGGUGCACACGGUGUCGAACGAACCUGACGCUGCUUUUCUUUUGGAUGAUUUGCGUAUGAACCUUCACACAAUUCUGCGCCGCUCUUGAUCUGUGGAUGCGUGCGCACUCUCUACAGACGCUCUUGCCCUCCCGUAAAGGUAACGAGGGCCCAAAGUAAAUCAUCGUGCCCGCCCGCUGCCCACUGGACCAUGCGCUGCUGCCCACGCUUCGAGCGGCACAGCAAAGCGACAACACCUUUUAUUUCCUGCG